AUCUUUUGUCGGGACGGAAGGCGUCUUCCUCCACCUCCCUCCAUAUAACAAAUGGGUUACCAGGUGCACAGAAA
rnacentral:misc_RNA from 1 species